rnacentral:lncRNA from 1 species
UUAAUCAACAAUAAAGAGGGGAAAGGAAAUGAGGCAAUUUUGGUGCUUAUAUAUAGAGUUUAAAGAAAAGAGGAAAAAAAAUAUUGGGAUGUGAGGUAAAAAAGUUGAGUGAGAUUUGUUAACUUUAACAAGUUAAUGCAUAACGGGUUUGAGUGUAAAAUUGUCUUAUGAACAUUGUAAAAUAGUCUUAUGAGCAUUGUAAAAUUUGUUUUUUUUCAUUAAUAAAAUUUUGAUUAUUCGUUUGAUUAUCGAAUUUAUUCUUUUGACAAUUACAACAAAAUUAGAUUACCAAC